UCAGUUGGCAGAGCAUCCGACUGUUAAUCGGACGGUCGCUGGUUCAAGCCCAGCCGCA
rnacentral:tRNA from 1 species